GGAAGGGCAAGCCGAUGGGCGACGGCACCGGUCUCGAAAACCGGCGAGCGACGAGCCUUGCGGGUUCAACUCCCGCUCCUUCCG
rnacentral:tRNA from 1 species